UAGGGAAUCUUCGGCAAUGGACGAAAGUCUGACCGAGCAACGCCGCGUGAGUGAAGAAGGUUUUCGGAUCGUAAAACUCUGUUGUUAGAGAAGAACAAGGACGUUAGUAACUGAUCGUCCCCUGACGGUAUCUAACCAGAAAGCCACGGCCAACUACGUGCCAGCAGCCGCGGUAAUACGUAGGUGGCAAGCGUUGUCCGGAUGUAUUGGGCGUAAAGCGAGCGCAGGCGGUUUCUUAAGUCUGAUGUGAAAGCCCCCGGCUCAACCGGGGAGGGUCAUUGGAAACUGGGAGACUUGGGUGCAGAGGAGGAGAGUGGAAUUCCAUGUGUAGCGGUGAAAUGCGUGGAUAUAUGGAGGAACACCAGUGGCGAAGGCGGCUCUCUGAUCUGUAACUGACGCUAAGGCUCGAAAGCGUGGGAAGCAAACAGG
rnacentral:rRNA from 1 species